AGGAGCGCAGUGAGGUGAAAGUCUCAUGCUGCGUUUUGAAGACCAGUCUGGAGGGUGACCUUCAGGCUGAGUUUAAUUACUCAGGAAUUGGAGUUCAGUCAUCUAAAACGACUUUGU
rnacentral:ncRNA from 1 species